UACGUAGGGUGCAAGCGUUGUCCGGAAUUAUUGGGCGUAAAGAGCUCGUAGGCGGCCAACUAAGUCAGACGUGAAAUCCCUCGGCUUAACCGGGGAACUGCAUCUGAUACUGGAUGGCUUGAGUUCGGGAGAGGGAUGCGGAAUUCCAGGUGUAGCGGUGAAAUGCGUAGAUAUCUGGAGGAACACCGGUGGCGAAGGCGGCAUCCUGGACCGACACUGACGCUGAGGAGCGAAAGCCAGGGGAGCAAACGGG
rnacentral:rRNA from 1 species